GAUGAACGCUGGCGGCGUGCCUAAUACAUGCAAGUCGAGCGAGGCGGGGACGGGUGAGUACUACGUGGCUACCUUCCUAUAAGACUGGGAUAACUUAGGGAACCCUGAGCUAAACCCGAUCCUUAUUGAUGGAUCCUCGUUGCAUUAGCUAGUUGGUAAGGUAACGGCUUACCAAGGCAACGCUGCAUAGCCGGCCUGAGAGGGUGAUCGGCCACACUGGAACUGAGACACGGUCCAGACUCCUACGGGAGGCAGCAGUAGGGAAUCUUCCGCAAUGGGCGAAAGCCUGACGGAGCAACGCCGCGUGAGUGAUGAAGGUCUUCGGAUCGUAAAACACUGUUAUUAGGGAAGCGGUACCUAAUCAGAAAGCCACGGCUAACUACGUGCCAGCAGCCGCGGUAAUUC
rnacentral:rRNA from 1 species